GCUGGUUGGAGGGACGAGGGGGGUGCAGAGCCAGCCAGGCCGCCCGCCCGUUCCCACAGCGGCCGAGCGAAGCAGGCUGCCAUGGCGCUGGCCAGGCCUGGGCCCCCGGCCCCCCAGCUCCUGGCCCCCCGGCCCCCGGCCCCUGUCCUGCUGCUGCUGCUGCUCUGGGUCCCUGCCCUUGCCCUCCUGGCUGGGACGGUGCCUUCAGAGCCCCCCAGUGCCUGUGCCUCAGACCCGUGCGCUCCAGGGACCGAGUGCCAGGCUACCGAAAGUGGUGGCUACACCUGUGGGCCCACAGAGCCCCGGGGCUGUGCCACCCAGCCAUGCCACCAUGGCGCUCUGUGUGUGCCCCAGGGUCCAGAUCCUGAUGGCUUCCGCUGCUACUGCGUGCCGGGUUUCCAGGGCCCACGCUGUGAGCUGGACAUCGAUGAGUGUGCAUCUCGGCCAUGCCACCACGGGGCCACCUGCCACAACCUGGCCGAUCGCUAUGAGUGCCAUUGCCCCCUUGGCUAUGCAGGCGUGACCUGCGAGACGGAGGUGGACGAGUGCGCCUCGGCGCCCUGCCUGCACGGGGGCUCGUGUCUGGACGGUGUGGGCUCCUUCCGCUGUGUGUGCGCGCCAGGCUACGGGGGCGCCCGCUGCCACCUGGACCUCGAUGAGUGCCAGAGCCAGCCGUGCGCGCACGGGGGCACGUGCCACGACCUGGUCAAUGGGUUCCAGUGCGACUGCGCAGGCACCGGCUACGAGGGCGCGCACUGCGAGCAGGAGGUGCUGGAGUGCGCAUCGGCGCCCUGCGCGCACAACGCUUCCUGUCUUGAGGGCCUCGGGAGCUUCCGCUGCCUCUGUUGGCCAGGCUACAGCGGUGAGCGAUGCGAAGUGGACGAGGACGAGUGUGCAGCGAGCCCCUGCCGCCACGGGGGCCAGUGCCUGCAGCGCUCCGACCCGGCUCUCUACGGGGGCGUCCAGCCCGCCUUCCCUGGCGAAUUCAGCUUCCGCCAUGCCGCGGGCUUCCUCUGCCUCUGCCCUCCUGGCUUUGAGGGAGCUGACUGCAGCGUGGAGGUGGACGAGUGUGCCUCACAGCCAUGCCUCAAUGGAGGCCGCUGCCAGGACCUGCCCAACGGCUUCCAGUGUCACUGCCCAGAUGGCUAUGCAGGGCCAACAUGUCAGGAAGAUGUGGAUGAAUGCCUGUCGGAUCCCUGCCUCCACGGCGGAACCUGCAGUGACACUGUGGCAGGCUAUAUCUGCUGGUGCCCAGAGACCUGGGGUGGGCGCGACUGUUCUGUGCAGCUCACUGGCUGCCAGGACCACACCUGCCCACUGGCUGCCACCUGCAUCCCUAUCUUUGAGUCUGGGGUCCACAGUUAUGUCUGCAACUGCCCACCUGGUACCCAUGGACCUUUCUGUGGCCAGAAUACCACCUUCUCUGUGAUGGCUGGGAGCCUCAUUCGGGCAUCCGUGCCAGCUGGUGGCCCCUUGGGUCUGGCACUGAGGUUUCGCACCACACUGCCCGCUGGUAUCUUGGCUACUCGCAAUGACACCAAGGAAAGCUUGGAGUUGGCAUUGGUGGCAGCCACACUUCAGGCCACACUCUGGAGCCAUGGCACCAAUGUGCUUGUCCUGAGACUGCCGGACCUGGCCUUAAACGAUGGGCAUUGGCACCAGGUGGAGGUGGCGCUCCGCCCAGGGACCCUGGAGCUGCGACUCUGGCAUGAGGGCUGCCCUGCUCGGCUCUGUGUGGCCUCUGGUCCUGUGGCCCUGGCUCCCACGGCUUCGGCAACCCCGCUGCCUGCCAGGAUCUCCUCUGCCCGGCUGGGGGACGUGGCAUUUGCAGGCUGCCUCCAGGAUGUGCAUGUGGAUGGGCACCUCCUGCUGCCUGAGGAUCUUGGCGAGAACGUCCUCCUGGGCUGCAAGCGCCGAGAGCAGUGCCAGCCUUUGCCUUGUGUCCACGGAGGGGCCUGCGUGGAUCUGUGGACUCAUUUCCGUUGCGACUGUCCACGGCCCUAUAGGGGUCCCACAUGUGGUGAUGAGAUUCCCGCCGCCACCUUUGGCUUGGGAGGCACCCCGAGCUCUGCCUCCUUUCUGCUUCAAGAGCUGCCAGGCCCCAACCUCACAGUGUCUUUCCUUCUCCGCACCCGGGAGCCUGCUGGCCUGUUGCUCCAGUUUGCCAAUGACUCCACAGCUGGCCUGACAGUAUUCCUGAGCGAGGGUCGGAUCCGGGCCGAGGUGCCAGGCAGUCCUGCCAUAGUGCUUCCUGGGCGCUGGGAUGAUGGGCUCCGCCACCUGGUGACGCUCAGCUUCGGGCCUGACCAGCUGCAGGACCUGGGGCAGCAGGUGCAUGUGGGUGGGAGGCUCCUCGCUGCCGACAGCCAACCCUGGGGUGGGCCCUUCCGAGGCUGCCUCCAGGACCUGCAACUCGAUGGCCACCGCCUCCCCUUCCUUCCUCUGCCACUGGACAACGUCAGCCAGCCCAGUGAGCUCGGUGGCAGGCAGUCCUGGAACCUCACUGCGGGCUGCGUCUCUGAGGACACAUGCAGUCCUGACCCCUGUUUCAAUGGUGGGACUUGCCUUGUCACCUGGAAUGACUUCUACUGUACCUGCCCUGCCAACUUCACAGGGCCCACGUGUGCCCAGCAGCUGUGGUGUCCCGGCCAGCCCUGUCUCCCACCUGCCACGUGUGAGGAGGUCCCCGAUGGCUUUGUGUGUGUGGCCCAGAUCACGUUCCGGGAGGGUCCCCCCGCCACGUUCAGCGGGCACAACGUGUCGUCGGGGCGUUCGCUUGGCAGCCUGUCGCUGGCCUUCCGCACGCGCGACCCCGAAGCCUGGCUGCUGCGCGCCGCAGCGGGCAACACGGCUGGAUUGUGGUUGGCAGUGCGCAACGGCUCGCUGGUGGGCGGCGUCCGUGGAGGCCGCAGCCUGCCAGGCGCUGUGCUGCCCAUGCCUGGGCUGCGCGUGGCCGACGGCGCUUGGCACCGUGUGCAGCUGGCCAUGGAGCGCCCGGCGGCCGCUGCCUCGCGCUGGCUGCUGUGGCUGGACGGCGCGGUCACGCCGGUAGCACUGCGCGGCCUGGCCGGCGACCUGGGCUUCUUGCAGGGUCCAGGUGCCGCGCGUGUCCUGCUGGCUGAGAACUUCACCGGCUGCCUGGGCCGCGUGGCGCUGGGUGGCUUCCCCUUGCCCUUGGCGCGGCCCCGGCCAGGCGCAGCCCCCGGUGCCCGAGAGCACUUCAUGGCCUGGCCUGGGGCGCCGGCCCCGAUCCCUGGCUGCCGUGGCGCGCCGGUGUGUGCGCCCUCGCCCUGCCUGCACGGCGGCGCCUGCCGCGACCUCUUCGACGCCUUCGCCUGCGCCUGCGGCCCGGGCUGGGAGGGCCCACGCUGCGAGGCCCAUGUCGACCCCUGUCACUCUGCGCCCUGCGCCCGCGGCCGCUGUCACACGCACUCUGACGGCCGUUUUGAGUGCCGCUGCCCGCCAGGCUUCGGGGGCCCUCGCUGCAGGUUGCCUGUCCCACCCAAGGAGUGCAGCCUGAACGUCACCUGCCUCAACAGCAGCCAGUGUGAGGGUGGGUCUCCUGCUGCCAACUGCAGCUGCCUGGAGGGUCUUGCUGACCAGAGGUGUUGGGUCCCCACCCUUCCCUGUGAAGCCAACCCCUGCUUGAAUGGGGGCACCUGCCGAGCAGCUGGAGGGGCAUCUGAAUGUAUCUGCAGCGCCAGGUUCUCCGGCCAGUUCUGUGAAGUGGUGAAAGGCCUGCCCCUGCCACUGCCAUUCCCACUGCUGGAGGUGGCUGUGCCUGCAGCCUGUGCCUGCCUCCUCCUCCUCCUCCUGGGCCUCCUUUCAGGGAUCCUUGCAGCCCGAAAGCGCCGCCAGUCCGAGGGCACCUAUAGCCCAAGCCAGCAGGAGGUGGCCGGGGCCCGGCUGGAGAUGGACAGUGUCCUCAAGGUGCCACCAGAGGAGAGGCUCAUCUAGGCCAGCCUGGCGGCCGGUGCCAGCACCUGGAGAUCCUGGAUGGUUUCUACCAGGAGACCCAAGGAAGCUGCUUCCAGGGCUCGGGACAUUGCUAUGGAGCCUCCGCCUCUGCCCCGUCGUGGAUGGAGGACAAGUGGAGCAACUCAGGGAAGCAGAAGCCUAGAGAGGCCGUGGACUCCUCCCUCCCACCCACGGGGUGCCGCCUCGGCAGGUGUACGGCUGUGUGGGAGGGCACACGUGUCUGAAGUGUCAUCUCCCUGGCCAGAGUUGCGGGAAAGAGUGGAUAUGGGGCCUACUUGGGGUUUGGCAAGAAGGCUGGAGCCAGGGCUUAAGAAUGACAGAGCAACGUUUCUUCACCAAGCAAGCCCCCCGCCGGCUCACCCGCCUACCUCUGGCUCUCCAGCCCUGGUCCUCCCUAGUGGCCUGGUGAGCUCAUUCCUUCCUGUGAUGACUGACUGCCUCUACACAGAUUCUGUGAGAGGACUCAAAGGAAACCCUGGAUUGCCUGCCGAGUAGAGGAGCUCAGCAAACACUGGCGCUGCCUCUGUGUCAGAGGCAGACCCAGGGGAGACUCUGCUGCUUGCUCCCAGCCCCUUCCCUGGCAAUGCCCAUCACAUCGUGACCUCUGAUCCCAGAAGGGCACCUGCCUGAGGGCCUGGCGCCUUCCAGCCUCGUGGACCUGGAGAUGUGCCCUUUCGUCCUUCCUGCUUCCCAGGCAGGAGAUCCGUUUACACUUUUGGGUCAACAGUCAGCUUUUCCUUUCAGUUUCAGCUGGUCCCAGAGGCAUGGAUGGCCAAGGUGGAGCCACGUGACCACUUGGGGGCACUGGGACAUGGGACUGGGGAGUCAGCAGAGGCUGGGAUGGAGAGGGGUUUGCCUGGUCCUUAUCCCUGUAGGAGGUGGGACUGCCUUUCCCUGAACUUUCUCUAUUACCCUUGGGAACCUGGGGAGGAAGCAUCCGGUUCCGUGGCCUCAGCUAGUUCCUGGGUCAGUUAUUGAGUCAGGGAUUUGGAAAACCUGUGUCAGCUGCAACUCCUAGGAUAUGUAAUGUGGUGGUCCACCAUGCAGAUGAAAGCCAGCUGCCCCCUGUCCCCUUCCUAGCUCCUUUGGGUUCGGGUGCCUGUCGUUUUCGAGGGCAGUUCUGUGAAGAGGAGCAUGGUCAGAUGAUGGGCAAGUGGGGGAGGUGUGAGACUGGGUGUAUCCAGCCUCACUGGGGGGGGGGGUCGACUGCUCCACAUCCCCCUCCACACACCAGCAUUCAACAGAGGCACAUUCCCAGGCUGUUCUCUUGCUAAUGAGACCUGUGGGGCAACUGGCCAGGUGUCCCCUAGAAGUCUUUCCUGGCUCCUGGGUGCGCUCAACACCGUUGCAGGCCUGCAGCCUGUUCCGUGGCCCCAGCAGGGCUGAGCAGGCCUGUUGCCAGCCCAACCCCAUGCCUGGUCUGUGAGGGGCAGGGCAUGAGCUGGCUUGGAGCCCCAAGUGGGCACCGGGAGUUGGCUCCUUCCCUAACUAACUGCUCUGCGCCUGCCCCCGGCCUCUACGGGAGUGGGUGGCAAACAUGGCUCAGGGCCCUUGUGGAGCCUUCCCUCCCCAAGAGCUUGAAGGACACGGGGAUGCCAGCCUUUCCCCAAGAUGAUUUUAUUGAAUGCGCACACAAAGUUCAUCCUUGGGUUUGCAAAGUCAGUCCCACAAGUGAAGAGAGUAGUGCUCGUGUGAACGUGGGGCACUCACCCUCAGGCUCCACCCUCCUUCCCGGGGGCCACCAGCACCUCUCCUCCUCCUCCUCCUCUGUCCUGUCCCGGAUGAGGCCUAGGGAGUCUGCCCAGGGAGUGAAACUGGAAUCUGUGCUGAAGUACCCAAGUGCCUGGGAGGUGCUGCCAUGGCCCAGGAGUGACAUGGCUUCCCCAGCAGCCAGAGCCCACCCCUGCGCCAGACAGGUUGUAGGUGACCCAGGAUGGCCGCCAAGCCUCACCGACCAUGUGCAGCAGUGGUGGCCUCUCACAGAGGGGGUCCCUGGGUGACAGAGACCUCCAGAGACCCCUCAGACACCCCUGGGGAGACUGUCUGACCCUUCAAAAAUAGGAAAUGAGAGCUUGGGUGGAAAUGCUCACAAUUUCCUGCAUGUCUCAGAUGGUUGUUUUCUUACAUAGUCGGGCCGUACUUUAACUUGGUUUAUGGAAAUGAAUCAAUUUCAUGAUUCAUCAAAUCAAUAAGGUAAAAAGGAAAAAUAAUAAAACAUUCAAUCUGACUUUGGUGA